rnacentral:lncRNA from 1 species
UUUUAAAAUUUGAAGACCUCGUGGACACCCUGUAACAAGGAAUUAUUAAACACAAAUAUAGAAAUUAACAUUUAGAUUAGUGAGUGUGGUACAAGUGAUCAAUGUUAGUGCAAGUUAACAAUGUUUAAUUAUGCUUAUUAUUAAAAAGUAUAUUAACAGCUGAAGCCCUAUAGUAGCAUAACCACAAUAAGCCAGUGUAGUGUACUGCUUUUCACUGAAUAAAAAAACAUUUGUUUUCAUAUUAUAAAGGUAUAACAAUGAACAGUAGCAAAUGUAAACAAUAAAAAUUAAUUAAACAUUGCUCAGAUUAACAAAUGAUCUUGUUUUUUGUUCAUGACACCUAAUACAUUAUCUAAUGAAAACAACCGAACCUUAUCAUAAAAUGUUCAAUUACAUUACAUAAUUGUAAUUAAGCAGAAGAGAUUAACUUUAACAUGAUUUUAACAUGAAUGAAAGAAGUUAAAAUUGACUUUGUACCAAUACAUCCUAACACAUUCACCCAUGCUGAUUUAGUUUAUGGUGCUCUACUGCCCUCUAGUGGACAUCAGGAAAAUGUGCCUCCUUUUAAACAAAACAAAAAACAAUCCAACUGGAUGUUAAACUAUAAAGUUGUAUUUAUUCCAGAGUAAGCUGAGAGUGGAGCAGAGCUGUUGUCUUACCAGUGUAACGAUUGCACACUCCGCCGUGAGCUGCGCUGCACUAAACAGAGUCCGGACGAAUCGAUAGAUGAGUUUGUGUUCAGGGUCUGUGCGGGAGUAAUCGUCAGGAACCUGCUCCCUCUGCCAAAGGUUGGGUUGGCUAACAGUACUGUCAUCGAUGAAUAUCGUAGAACAGGAGCUAUACUUCUUUGAAAGCAGACCAGGGGGCUGCUGCUACCCGCUCUGGCCACGAGAGCAAGAGGAUUGGUGGGCACAAUGAGCCUUUUGUACAGGCACUGCAACAGAACAACGCAAGCUCACACCCCGAGCUCUGCCCACAUUACUAUGUGCCACAGGAACUGUGCCAAUGGAUUAAAACCGACCUCUCUACAGCCAGACAUAUAACAGGAUGAGCACACAUAAUACAUCAUAAUAAAGAUCGUUUUUAUGUUUGGUUUUGAAAAAUGUGAAAGUCAUUGACUUGAAAAUACAUUCAAGCCAGAGUGCAGUUCAGAACAUUAGAAUUGAGGAUUCUGCCCUGGCCACUUUAUGAAAAGGUGUCUUCAGCAGCCAAUGAAGAUGCAUUCUUAUGGAACUCAAUGGAGACGGGUCAACAGACUUGUGCCAAUGCUGCUAAGUUGUACAGUAAACACAAUCCAAGGAGACGUUUGGACAGCUGCAACUAUGUGAUGAGAGCCACAGAACUGACAGGAAGUGGAGCAUAGGUGCAGGACAGAAGGGACUUCUGAGUACUUGACUUUUAGUCCACAACCCAAAACAUAUUACUUGGGGUCACUAACUC